rnacentral:misc_RNA from 1 species
AUUUGAAGCAAUUCAGAUCAUCAAUCUGCCAAAAGAUCUAGACAAGGAUACAACCCAUCGUUAUGGUCCCAACACUUUCAAAUUGCACAGGUUACCUGUCCCUAGGCCAGGACAGGUUCUUGGUCUGGUUGGCACAAAUGGUAUUGGAAAGUCAACUGCCCUGAAAGUUUUGGCUGGAAAAUUGAAACCAAACUUGGGACGCUUCACUAACCCUCCUGAUUGGCAAGAGAUCUUGACUCACUUUCGAGGAUCCGAAUUGCAGAAUUACUUCACUCGCAUUCUGGAAGAUAACUUGAAGGCAAUUAUCAAGCCUCAGUAUGUUGACCAUAUUCCAAAGGCAGUUCAAGGAAAUGUCGGACAAGUGCUUGACCAAAAAGAUGAGAGA